CGUUUGGCAGAAAAUACAAGCGGAACAUUUACAACGGAACAAACAAAGAAAAACCAGCGAAGCAUCAAACCAACAAAUUGAGAAUUCCGUUUUGCGGCUCUGCUAAUCUGCUGACUGUUCUGCUUUCUCAUUCAGUGCCUUCCUUCCUUCCUUCAAGAACAUCCUUUUUCCUUUUCCUUCCUUCUUUCCUUCCUGACUGAACUGAAUUGAACCAUCUCUUUCUUCAUACAUGUGGAUCGCAACAGCAGCAGCAGCAGCAGCGGCUUCCUCGUCAAUUUCCCUCGGUCCUUCCAGCUGCCACUAUUGUCCUUCUGAAGGAAUUUGCUGCUCAACAUCAUAUGGAAUAACCGGGAGUUGGACGAAAUCAGUUGCUGGCAUUCAUAGAAUUUCUGCGCAUUCAGGAUUAAGUUUCAGGUGCGACAAUUCUUUCUUUGGAGUUACACUUUGGCUGCCAAAUGGACAUGAGAAUUGCAAUUCAAGGGUUUCAGUUGCCGCUGAUUACUCAGAUUCUCUACCUGAUUCCUCAAGUUAUGGUGGUGAUAAUGGUUAUCACCCACUUGAAGAACUAAGAGAAUGUAGAAGAACUCGAGUUACUAAGCUCACAGAUGCUGAAAUUGCAAGGUCAACUGUUGAGGCUAACAACAGAGCGUUGUUGUUCUUCCCUAGUAUGGUGCACUGUGAACCACAUGAACAAGUCUCUUGGGAUGAUUUUCCGUAUGUUAUCGAUGAAUAUGGAGAUAUAUUUGUUGAGAUCUAUGACAAAGACAAUAUCUUGCAAGAUCCUCAAGCAAGUAACCCUGUGAAUGCUUUAAUUGGAAUGGACAUCUCGCAGUAUGAAAACAGAAGGAUAGAUACCUCUGAGUACGGCUUUUUAGAAAAUAAUUAUGGUGAUGACAUAACUUACCUUAAUGAUUACGCUGAGUUUGAAGAUUCUGAGAUGUUGGGUGUACGAGUGGAUUGGGGAAUGCCAGACAGUUCUAGCUGGGUUCAUCCAAUUUAUUUUGCCAAGUGCUUAACGAAGGUUGUUUCAGCGGAACAUGUCAAAAUGAUUGACCAUCCUUCUAAUGGUGUUUCUGUUUGGGGACACCUUAAGCCUGCUUAUGUUGAUGAAGAAUUAUAUCUAAGACGGCUUUUUGAUGAUGAAAAUAAUGAUGGCUACACUUCAGGCUGGACAGAUGGGGAAGGCUUCAGUUCUAGUGACUGUGGAAGUCAUAAGAGAUCAACCAUCUACAGAUUGGAUAUCAUGAAAAUGGACCUAUUCUCUGUCUAUGGUGAACAGUUGGCUAUCAGUUUAGAAGAUUUUCAGGAUGCUGAGCCUGAUAUUCUUGUACACUCAACAGCAGCACUUGUAGAGCGGUUUGAUGAGCCAGGAGUGAGAUGCAAUUUUGCACUCAAAGCUCUUUGCAAAAAGAAGGGACUUCUUGUUGAGGGGGCAAAUUUGAUUGGAGUUGACAGUCUUGGAAUGGAUGUCAGGGUCUUCUCAGGAUCAGAAGUGUUAACUCAUCGUUUUCCAUUCAAAGUUAGGGUAAGGAAGCUGCCAUCUGAACUGCAAAGUUGAAAGUGCUGCUAACAGUGGAAAAUACUCACUUUUUGAAGUAACAAUAUAAAAGGCAACAUCAGAGGCUGCUGCAGACAAGCAGAUUCAGCAACUUCUUUUUCCGAGGUCACGUCGAAAAAAACGUAGGACUCUUGAAAAACUUAGGGACACAGAUUCAUUUUGAUUCUUAGGAUGUCAGUUUUUUUUUGGUAAUAAGCAUCUAUCAAUAAACUUCAGGCGAAAGUAAUAAAAUUUUACCAAUUUUACUCA